CUCGGCCUCCGGGCCCGGAGUGGGGGAUCGCUGCGGCCCCGGCCCUGCCCCGCGGCCCCUAACCGUAGUGGUGCUGCGGGCCCUUCUCUUUUUCCUUCUCCGUCCCAGCUGCGCUGCGGGGGGGCUGUCACUCACCCGGUAAUGUAAGAAUGUCAUCAAGCAUCCAAAUAAAACCGAAGACUGCAAUACAGAAGAGCAAGCCAUCUUCCACUUUGCCUUGUUCUCCAGAACCUUCAAUUAAACUGCAGCCAAAGCCUAGUGACAAACUGAAUCCCAAAACUAUUGAUCCGUUUGGUGAUCAUUCUAGAGCACCUUCUGCGUUUGCUGCUAUUUAUGCUAAAGGUGGCAUUCCAUGCAGGUUAAUGCAUGGUGCAGUAAAGCACAGACUACAAUGGGAAUGCCUUCCUGAAACUGUUCCUUUUGAUCCUCUUCUUAUAACUUUGGCAGAGGGCCUAAGAGAGACAAAACAUCCCUACACAUUUGUUUCAAAGGAAGGUUUUAAAGAGUUACUUAUGCUUGAAGAUGCUACUGGAAAAGCAGUUCCCUUGUUGCCUCGUCUAGUUCCAGUGUUAAAGGCUGCAUUGGCCCAUUCAGAUGAUGAAGUAUUCGAAAGAGGAUUGGAUGCUUUAGUUCAGCUGAGUGCUGUCGUUGGUUCUUCUCUUAAUGAUCACCUUAAGCUUCUACUCACAAAUAUAUGGUGGAGGACUCAGCAGUUCCAUGAAAAGCAUUACGUCAUAUAUUCUUGUGUCUUUCAAGGAGAUUAAUGGACAAGAAAUUUAAGGAAAAAAUCACUGUUGCUUUACAAAAGUUGGAGCAAUAUGGUGGAAAGGCGACUGUUGCUAUCAUCAAAUUGAAAAUUCCAACCUAUUGUUCUAUCUCCUCUUGAACAAGAAAUCCAUAGUGAUUUGCACUGCAAGGUGAAGUGUGGAGAGAAACUGCCUGUGAACAUCACUGACGUGUAUUUGGGGUAUCAUAUAUUCUCUUACACUAACCACAGCUCUUCUGCAAUAUGAUGGAGAGUGGGAAAAGUUGCAUCAGUUUGUGAAAAUGUAAUUAUGGAAGACCAUUUAAAAUAGUUAUCUCUGUAUCUCUGUGUUGGCUGGUAUUUGUGCACUUCUGUGCUUACAAUGACAUUUACUAAUGUAAAUGUCUAUUUUUUGGCAUUAAUGUAAAUGGCUAUUUUUCCAAAAGUAUAGACAAUAUUGAUUUGUAUUUUGUUGUAAAUUAAAUUUCUUUUAACAGUUUUGGUGCUUAAAAUGUUUUAUAUGUUUGUGUGAUAUAAAAUAAUUUGACUGUAAUUGCUUAAAUAAUAGAAAACUUAGUGUUAAAUUAAAUGUGUAUACUUAUGUUUGAAACACCUGUUAUUUGUGCCACAGACACAGAUGACCCCAGUUUGGAUUCAUCAGGAUAGACGUAGAUCUAUUGAGAACUCAGCUCAACUUUUGCAGAGUCAGCUUUUACACAUGUGAAGCUCAAGGUACCAAAUAGGUAGUAAGCACUGCACAACUGAGCCUGCUCCGUGCAGUGCUGUUCUCAGCACACUGUUCUCAGAGCUGGGGAGGCUCUGGAGAGCACAGUACAGAGGCAUCAGGUUGCUCCAUGUAGCUGCAGCCUAGGUUUUGCUGGACUAAUUUGUUCCAGUGAGCUAAAUAUUAGCAGAGGGAACUGGUUUUUUUACACCAUAUUCCCUUGCAUUCAGUUCUGUAAUGCUGCAGAUCUGCUUGGGACUAGCUUGUGAAUUCAGCCCUGGAAAAGCUAAUAAGCUUUGAAAUGUGGAAGCCAUGGAGAAACAUGUGCUAAAGACAAUAAAAAGACUGCAGAAGCCAACUUACCUGGCUGUCAAGCCCUGUAGGAUGCGGCUUUUGUCUAUGAGCAUACUGGUGCUUGAUUGCAAAAUGCUUCCCAAUAGGCCUUGUAAUAAAUACUAGGCAGGUUUGGUGAUGUUCCAAGUUCUCCCAUGAGGGAGAGAUGACUGAAGUAAGUAACAAAAUUUGACUUAGCAUCUUUUUUCCGAGGCAAAUUAAAUUCUGGAGUUAAAUUUAAGUUGUUGAAAGUUGUGGGUUUUUUAAAGUCAUCAAAAGAUAGUGUUGCAAAGGGAGUUAAAAAAAAUGCCUUGGUCAUGUGAAAGCAUAUUUGUAGAAUAUUUGGAAAAUUACCACUGGGUGGUUAUAUUAAAUUUAAUUGAACUGUACUAAGAUUAGUUAAUUUAGUUUUAAAAACUUAAAUACAUAUAUCUUAAUUUCGUUAAUAAAAAUGUUAAAUUUGAAGAAAUGCAACUGUUUGUUUUAACAGCACAAAAAGCAGUCAUUCUCCUUGUUUUUUUCAUGUUUGUUUAUUUAUUUUUUUUUUUUUUUACAAAAUGUGCACAUUUAGUUUACAUGAACAUGCUACAGCAAAUUUCAGGUGUACAUGUAUUGUACUACUCUUAUUCUACACUGGUGAUAGCAGAGCAGCCUUCAACAUGCCUCUUAAUGUCCCAUCUCUACACCAGAAUAGAUACCUGAUUUAUUUUUGCAAAAGAAUGUUUGUAGCAUUCUUUUUACUUCUUUAAUCCCUUUUCACAUUUUCUGCAGCAAUGUCACAAUGAAGAUUGGUCUAUCUCUGAUAGCAUUUCACAUAUUUUCCAAUAUUAGCAUAUAAAAUCUCUGGACAGUAAAUCAUAAAAAGUAAAUGUGUAUGUGGGGCAGAAACAAUGUUAUGUUUUAGAUACUUUUUUCCCCCCCCUCUUUCUUGAUUCAGAAUUAAGGUAGUUCUAAGCAUAACAAUGUAAUGAUCCUAAAAAAUGUAGAUCUAUAUCGCUGAAGUUUCCAUUUCUUCCCAUUUCUUUCUAAUUAAAGAUGAAAUAGAUGUUA